AUAUAAUAUAUAUAUAUAUAUAUACACAUACACACAUCAUAUAUGUGAAUAAGAUCAAUAAGAUCAUACUGCUUGCUUUUAAAUUAUUAACCAAAUCAUACCAGGUGUUUUGUCAUGCAAACAAAGAUUAUCUAAGGCAUAAAGAAAGGUGAUGGGAAGAAUUUGGGUUUUUUUCAUUUUUUUUUUGUUCCCACCUUUUUUUCAUAUUUGUUCACUCUUACCAUUUAUUUCAUCCCUUAAUUUUAUUCAGUUUAUCAUUCACAUUGCACUUUAUUUUUUUUUAAACCUUUAAAGCCAAAACUUGAGGCUUGAAUUUUAUCUGUUUCAUUAUUAAAUGUAUUUGUGGAUUUGUUUUAUUCAGUACAGUGACUUCUUCAACAUAUAUUCCUUUCUUCCUCUCACUCUCUCUCUCUCUCUCUCUCCAUCUCUCACUCACUCUCUCUCCCUCUCCAUCUCUCACUCUCUCUCUCAAUAUGUUGCCAGAAAAUGAGGUUAGUUGCUUACUUCCUGAAAUAUAGUCAGUCUGUUACAUAUUAUCAUGGCUUAUUUACCAUUUAGGUAUUUUUAUGGUUUGAUGGAAAUAUCUAAUUCGCCUUAAAUUUUUCAUAUUCCCACAUGAAAGCCAAAAAAUCCCCCUGUUUUAUUUUUCAUAGGAGCAGGGUUUUCAUAGCUGUUUGUUCAUAAAAUGCCUAACAACAAUUAAGAGUUUGAAAAUUAUCAUUUGCAAAUCUCACAAUGAGAGAUAUUCAGCAACAGUACUUUGUAUUAAAGAUUUUUGCCAACAUAACAUGGCAGUCUUGGUUCAGGACGAAUGUUGCUGUAAUUUAGCCCCAGGAAAUAUUGUUCCAGCUGGCUAUACGACACAGUUUGUGUCCUUAUAAUUUCGAACAAGAAAUCUAACAUGCCCACUCAGCUCAAAACAAUAUCUGUGUAUCAUGAUGAAAGGAAAUAACCCCGAAAUCGCAUUACACAGAUAUUGUUUUGAGCUGAGUUAUAAGGACACAGAUUAUGUUGUAUAGCCAGCUGGAGACGAUGUCUCCCGGGGCUAAAUUACAGCAACAUUCGUCCUAAACCAGGACUGGCUUGUUCUGUUGGCAAAUAAUCUUUACUCCAUUAAGAGAUAGGCUUUUAGAGAUUCAAACUCCCAUGUUUCCAUACAAUGUCUGACAACGAUUAAAAGACAGGCUUAGAGAAUGUUGAGCAAUGACCAAAAGAGUACAAUGGCAAAUACAAGCAGCCAAAAUAGAGUUCCUCUGAAAGAUCUCUGAAGUAAUGUUAUUUAACAGGGUGCAUAGCUCAGGUAUCAGGAAGAUUCUCCCAAUGGUGCUGCUACUUCUCUUCUUUGUAAAAUUAAUGGAUGAUAAUGAUGUAUUAUAAAUAACAGGGUUUAUAUUUUAAUUGUUUUACAUAAUGUCUUUAACUUUUUAAAAGUUCCUGGCUUGGUUACUAAAGAUUUUAACAAAUGAAACUUUGUUUGCUGUGUAAACUAAACUUAUAUUAAUCUACCUGUGAACCAUACAGAGUUCAAUAAACUUGUUUUUUUUUUUUAACUCUGGUUUCUCUAACAUUAAACAAAUGAAAAUGAUUCUCCAUUCUUCCCUGGAAGCAUGGAGAAUCUUCGUCUCAAAUGAUGGAGUUUAUGAUGACACGCCCUGCCUAGCAACCAUCAAUGCAUGACACACUGCAGAUUCCAUUGAACUCUUCCACUCAUAUGUAAAAAUAUGAAGAAACAGAUUCAACUUAAUAGAAACAUAUAGAUCUGUGGGUUGCACCAAGUCUUUUGCAAUAGCAUAGCUAGUGGGGCAGGGGGAAUAAGCGGGUGUGGUCUGCUCCAGGUGACACUUUUAUGAGCACUUUUGGGUCUGCUAUAUAAAGGCUGUCUAGAUUUUGGUACCCCAGGGUGGAGGGCAACAUAUAGAAGGGCUACUCCUGGCAACACACUCUCUAGCUACACCAUUGGUUAUUUGGCCAUAGCAUUACUGGUUAUUUGACCAUAGCAUUACACACAUAUUGGGGAAUAUAAAAAGAGCAGAGGAUUCAAAUCUAAAACCCAACUUGGUCUUUAAUUCCUUCCAUCUAAAUUUACAUCUCAUAAUUAAAAGCAAAAACAUUUAGAAAAUUUAUUUAAGAUGUACUUUUGUUUAUAAGCUGAUAAUUUUUCAAACCAUUAGCCUUGUCUUAGCACUUUGGAUACUAAACUGCCUCAGACCACUUGAGGUUCAGUGGUGGAAAUUAAAAUUUUUUCAAAGGGGACUAGAUGAAAACCUUUUGUCAAAAUUUCAUUUUAAUUCAUGUUCUGAACACCAGCUUAAUAAUGACAGUACUUUAAUAAAUUCUCUUUUAUUUUCAAAAUUACUUGAAACAAAGGCAGUGGAUUUCAUUAGAAAUAUGAAAACAAAAGUCUUGCAGUGAUCUAAAUAGAAAGAUUCCCUCAACAUUUCAUGUUAAUAUUUCAAACACCAGCUUACAAAUCCAUUGAAACAAAGGCAAAAAUAUGAUAUCUGAAGGAUUAAGCGAUUAAUUUUUUUAAUAUUUACAUCUGCACAAUAUUUCAAGUGGUUUGAGCACAGGGGAGAGGGGAUCAAACCAAAUCAAACACAGUGUAGUUGUAUAUAUUUAAUAUUGUUCUGUCUCUAAAGAUGCAGUUAAUAUUUCAAAAGAUUAUAAUCUAAUGUUUAUCAUAUUUUUAUGGGGAAAAUCUCAUGAAGCCCUUCGUUAUUUUCCUUCAACUAACAUUGAACUAAUGUUGCUCCUGUUACUUCUCCAAACUAUUCUGUUCUGAUUAUAAUAUUUAUUUUACUGAUAAUAUUGAUAAUACUCAAAGGUUUGAAGCAAUUAAACCAACAUCUAUCCUCCUUGCUGGCUCUCUUUAUUUUAAGCUUUAUUUCUCUUCACUUUAAAUCAGGUAUCCUGUCUCUAAAAUUGCUGGCCUUAAAUCAAAAUUUGAAAUUAUAUACAGUGGAACCUGUUUCUGAAUGUCUCUCAUCAUGAAAAAAUUGGUUUCUGAACAAUUUUUUAAACAUGAAAUAUCUCGGGUGACAAAUGGUGGCUCGAGUAAGGAACAUGCAAGUUGGCAACAACAGUUACCAUCUGGCUUUCAGUCAGCACACAUUCUUGAUAGAAUUUGCUAUUUCUUCUCUUAAAUUUCCUUUGGGAAAAAUAGUCUCAGUUUAUGAACAUUUCAGACAACAAACAGCCUCCAGGAAUGAAUUAAAUUUAGAAACUGAGGUUCCAUUGUAUUUGAAAUAGUGGGUUGACAGAAUUACAGGCAAGUUGGACUAAAUGCUCAGCAGCAUUCCUUCCAGUUCUUUAUGUUUUGAGUUCAAAUUCCACCAAAGUCAAUUUCCCCUUUCAUCCAUUUGAAGUCAACAAAAUAAAUCUCUGUUGAGCAAUGGGAUUGUUGCAAUUAACUUCCAUUUCUGUGAAAAUUGCUGGCCUUGUCUCCUAAUUAUAUGUUAAUGUAUAUUCCUGUCGUGACUAUAGACUGGGCAGAAUCAGUUGAGCAUCAGAGAAAAUUUCUUGUGACUUUUUAUAAUCCCAGUUCAAAUUCCAUUGAGAUCAACUUUUCCUUUCAUCGUUUUGGGGGUCCAUAAAAGACUGUACCCAUCUAGGGUUGAUGGAAUCAAUUAAACCCCUUCUUUUGAAA